rnacentral:rRNA from 1 species
AAAGGAGACUGCCAGUGAUAAACUGGAGGAAGGUGGGGAUGACGUCAAGUCAUCAUGGCCCUUACGAGUAGGGCUACACACGUGCUACAAUGGCGUAUACAAAGAGAAGCGAACUUGCGAGAGUAAGCGGACCUCAUAAAGUACGUCGUAGUCCGGAUUGGAGUCUGCAACUCGACUCCAUGAAGUCGGAAUCGCUAGUAAUCGUAGAUCAGAAUGCUACGGUGAAUACGUUCCCGGGCCUUGUACACACCGCCCGUCACACCAUGGGAGUGGGUUGCAAAAGAAGUAGGUAGCUUAACCUUCGGGAGGGCGCUUACCACUUUGUGAUUCAUGACU